rnacentral:rRNA from 1 species
UGCUUAACACAUGCAAGUCUUACGAGAAAGUCCACUUCGGUGGAUGAGUACAGUGGCGCACGGGUGAGUAACACGUGGAUAAUCUGCCCUUCAGUCGGGAAUAACUCAUCGAAAGAUGGGAUAAUACUCGAUGAUGCCUGUCCGUUUCGACGGAUUUGCCAAAGGUGGCCUCUCCUUGGAAGCUACCGCUGAGGGAUGAGUUCGCGCACCAUUAGCUUGUUGGUGGGGUAAUGGCCUACCAAGGCGACGAUGGUUAGCUGGUCUUAGAGGACGAUCAGCCACACUGGAACUGAGACACGGUCCAGACUCCUACGGGAGGCAGCAGUGAGGAAUUUUGCGCAAUGGGGGAAACCCUGACGCAGCGACGCCGCGUGAGUGAGGAAGGCCUUCGGGUCGUAAAGCUCUGUCAGGUGGGAAGAAAUGUUUGAUGGCUAAUAUCUGUCAUGCUUGACGGUACCACCAGAGGAAGCACCGGCAAACUCCGUGCCAGCAGCCGCGGUAAUACGGGGGGUGCAAGCGUUGUUCGGAAUUAUUGGGCGUAAAGCGCGUGUAGGCGGCUGAGUAAGUCAGAUGUGAAAGCCCUGGGCUCAACCCAGGAAGUGCAUUUGAUACUGCUCAGCUAGAGUAGGGGAGAGGAAA